CAUAUUAUGAUUGAGGAGAUGGCU
rnacentral:siRNA from 1 species